ensembl:lncRNA
GGAAGUGAACCAUUCAUUAUCUUUUUAUUGUUGGUGUUUUUUUUUUUUUCUUACAGCAACAACUAUGCAGGGAAUCAUGGUUCUGAUUUGUUCGGCAGUAGGACUAGUGUCUCUCUUGUUAUUCCCUGUUGCAAGAAUGAAGAUUAAAAAGAUCGCGUGGGUAAAACCUCCAGCUCCAUCCAUCUCGCCACUGAACCAAACAGCUCAGGGCAGUUUACAGUUUUCGCUGUCCAAAUCUCAUGUGCAUCAGAUUUACAGUGAGGAAAUUUCAACAAUCGACAUGAUAAUAGAGAUCACAGCCAGACAGCAGCUUCAAGAACAUUCCUCAGUCAUUUAUUCCCAAUGUCACACGCCUUACGUGGGUCCUUUAAUGGAAGUCUGGGCGCCCUGCCUGACGCCCGACUCGCGCAACACUGCUAACAAUCCUUGUAACGAUCCUGAUUUCCUGCCUGACGACGGUGAUGUUGAAGAAACUCUUCUUUGCUUGAGCACGCCCACAGGUGUUGAAGGUGGUUUUGUGUCUUUGGAUGACCUGGAGCCCAGCCUUGAGAUCCGCAAGGACUCGGAAACGUUCACUAAUACACUGAACCCUGCGUGUUUCUCUCAGAAUUAUUGCACUUUAACCAACACAGCUGUUGGACUUAUUCCUACAUUUUGCACAGUGCAGUGUGUUCCUAAUCUCGGUUUAGAGCUAAACGGUCAUACUUCACCUGAUCUGUUCAAUAUGCAGAUAGAGGAGAGUACACCAGAAUUGGACACAGUGACUCUUGACAAUUUGCAGCUGUCUGUGGAUGAAUGAC